ACAAAUCCCCUGAAUGUGCCUGAUCUCGUCUGAUCUCGGAAGCUAAGCAGGGUCAGGCCUGGUUAGUACUUGGAUGGGAGAAAUGAAAACGAAUCUAAAAUUUGUC
rnacentral:rRNA from 1 species